UUUGCAGAUGUCAUGGGUGACAGCGGGUCUGUCAGCACCUUGGCACAUACUGACGAAGCAAUCGAUGUUGACCAGAUCAAAGUAUACCCCUGAGAUGGCCUGAAAAGAGAGGACUGAAAAUGGAGGCCCUGAUCCUGACAACAUACUGAUGCAUCCUGAAGAAACUGUCCCGUGGGAACAGAGAACACUGUCUCAUGAAAACAGGAGCACUGUCUCAUGAGAACAAGGACCUGUUUUGAAUGAGAGUAGUUGGGAAAAACAUCAACAUGAGAGAAAAAUAAGAACAGGUGCUCAGGACUGUUGUGGGAAAGGACUGGGCUGUUUUGAGAAAGAGCAAAGUUGUUGUGAGAAAGUAGAGUUUAGAAAAUGCACCAAUUAGCUGUAAGAAUUCUGGUGUGAAAGUUUGAACUGUCCUAUCCGUGUGCAUUACGUGUGUGCAAAAACUGUACUUAAGGGGCUGCGCAGCAGCCCCGCUGUCCCUGCUUUU